UACUUUGCCCCUGCGGUUGUGAAGAGGAUGCUGUGGAGGUGGCAGCAUGAACGUGUCACACAGACAUUGGCUAAACUACUCGGCUUCUACACUUGCCCUCAGAGUUCACAUAUGGUGAAGUGCACAGGUGUCCAGUCAGGUUCAGACUGAUGCUGGUAACAAGAGGAAAACAUGCUAAUUGGUCAGUCCAUGAGCCCACGUCUUCAGGUCAUGGGCCUGAGAAGAAUCUACCGUUACAGGGGUCAGAAGAGAUCCUCAAACUAUGCUGACAUUACUACCCCUGUACUUCAACCCCUCUGCUGCCACUGGGUCCUCAACGAGAAAAUAAACUGAUUCCCUCCCCCCAAUCCAUUCCUUUUUCCACCGUCACAUCACACCAUGCCUAUGCACAUUAACACCACCAAUGAGCCUAGAAAACUAGGACAACAGUGAGGAUGAAUUUAGAAACCGCUUCCACGUAUUGUACUAUUUCUGAAAAAGCAUUGGUAUUGGCCUUCUAUCUCCACGUAGCCAUAUCAAAAAACCUGCCUAAAAAAAAAAUCAAUUUUGUCGUGUUUCCGCUUAAAAAGGAAUUUAGAAACCGCUUCCACGUAUUGUACUAUUUCUGAAAAAGCAUUGGUAUUGGCCUUCUAUCUCCAUGUAGCCAUAUCAAAAAACCUGCCUCAAAAAAAAAAACUAUUUUGUCGUGUUUCCGCUUAAAAAGGAGAACAAAAUAUCCACAUGUAAAAUUAUCCUGCUACGUGGAAAUGGCACCUUACUAAAUAAAUAACAACUGCAUAGUUAUUCUGUUCAAUUUAUGAGUAACUAUGUAAAUUAUGAUUAACUUUUUGGCUGAUAUGGGACACUGCAUGAAAAGAGGAAUUUGUGGAUGAGUUUUGCACCUUAAAUUGCCUCAUACCUCAAGCCACAGCAUUUGCGGCUCCCCCAUGCCCCCCUCCCAUCCCUUUCUUAGAAGAGCCUUUAAUAUGUAAAUGCCAGUGAUCAGGUCGGGA